GGUUCGAUGGCGUAGUUGGCUAUCGCAUCUGUCUUACACACAGAAGGUCCUCGGUUCGAGCCCGGGUCGAGCCA
rnacentral:tRNA from 2 species